UACGUAGGGACCAAGCGUUGUUCGGAUUUACUGGGCGUAAAGGGCGCGUAGGCGGCAUGACAAGUCACUUGUGAAAUCUCCCGGGCUUAACUCGGAACGGCCAAGUGAAACUGUCAAGCUAGAGUGCAGAAGGGGCAAUCGGAAUUCUUGGUGUAGCGGUGAAAUGCGUAGAUAUCAAGAGGAACACCUGAGGUGAAGACGGGUUGCUGGGCUGACACGUGACGCUGAGGCGACGAAAGCCAGGGGAGCAAACGGG
rnacentral:rRNA from 1 species